rnacentral:lncRNA from 1 species
GCGACAGUUUCAAAGGCAGUUCCGGAAUUCUACUCGAGGUACGCCGAGACCGCCAAGCAGGCCGUUCCAGUCAACUACGGCUCUUUCGACUUCAGCAAGGCCGGACUCGCGGCGAAGCCUGCUCUGACCGGCCUCAACUACGGGGCGUCUACUGGCUUCUCCGCUGCUGCCGGACAGGGCGGUGCCUGGGCCUUCCCCGACGCUGCUGCCUCUGCAUGGCCCGCGGCUUACAACAGCAAGUCUGCCUUGGCCCUGGGGCCAACGGUGAAGCUGUGAAGUGGUGCUGCCCCAACAGAUGUGACUCUAAGACUCUCCAAGGACGGUUGAAUCAAAGCUGAACUCACUCGUCCAGCAUGAGUGGAAGUCUUCUGGAAGCUCACUGAAUACAAUUAAGCUCGUGAACGUGAUAACCGACGAGUACGCUCUUCCAAGUUGCUCGUGUGCAAUAGUUCGCGUCCUCACAGAGAAAGUUGUUUAUCAUUGUCUGUUGGAUGCUUUUGUUUGACAAUACCAUCAUAUACGCCAAUAAAUAUUGUUUGCUAC